CCUAACAUGUCAUGAUUAUGGCAAUUUCACAUGCAAUAGAUAUCAUAGAUUUUACUCACAUCUUUACCACAUUCAUACUAUAAUCAUUAUAAACUCAUCACAUAAUACCAUAGCACAUGCAUGCAUAAUUAAAAUAGAUUUACAACCCCAUAAUCAAAAUAGGCCAACACAUAUGGUUAAAGUCAUAUCACAUACUCUAAUAUUUAAACUCCUAUACAUGCCAUAGGCUCAAAGUACUUGAAAUCACUACACCAAUAGCGUUAGCUUGACAGUGUGAUAAUAUCUCUGACGGCCUCCAACCCGAGCUAACCUGGAAACUCUAGAAAACAUGGGAAAGAAGAGGGGGGUAAGCUUUCGCUUAGUAAGUUCAUAUGAAAACAAUAAGCACCCAUUAACUUGUUUUAUCAAUGUUUACAACAUAUUCUCAAGUUCACUACAAGCUGUCUUUCUGAGCAAUGGUCACUAAAUUAUUUAUAUCUGGAGCUACAAAACUCCGAAUUAAGUUCCGUUAAUUUUCCCUGAAACUAGACUUAUUUUCCUUUCUUCCAUAAAAUUUUCAGAAUUUUUGGUUAAGCCAAAUAGUACAAUUUAUUCCUCAAAGUUACCCUUGAUUCACUGUCUGACAGUUCCGACCCUUCUGUACUAAAGUUCAAUUAUCUCAUAGUACAAGACUCGAAUAAUGUAAUGUUCUCGUCUAUUUCUAUUGAAACUAGACUCAUAUGUCUACUUACUAAUAUUUUUCUAGAAUUUUUGGUUGGGCCAAUUAGUACAGUUUAUUAGUUAAAGUCUCCCCUAUUUCAGGGUAUGACCACUCUGACCCCUGUGCACUACAAACCGAAUUUAUCCCUGUACAAAAUUCCAACGACCAUGGCGUUUAUUUCCCAUAAAAAUAGACUCAAUAAGGAAUCCAUGCAUGUAAGGUAUGACUCUUAAUAAUUUUUGUACAAUUUUUGGUGAAUUUCUAAAGUCAGAACAGGGAAUCUCGAAUUCAUUCAGACCCGGUUUCACAAGAAUUCAAAUAUCACACAAUAUGGAAUUCUUUUUCUUCCCCUGUUUCUUUCAUGUGAAAAUAGACUCAUUAAGCUUUAAUCCCAUAUUUUAUUCUGCCUCUAACUCAUUUUCCACUAUUUUUAGUGUAUUUUCAAAGUUACACUACUGCAGUAACUCAAAUCUGUCAAGGCUAAAUUACUCAUUCAUGAUCAUUGUUCACAAAAUUAAUACAACAUCGUUUGUAUAAUCAUCACCGAGACAUUCAUAUCACAUUUUCAUUUAUCAUCUUACCAUAUUGUUGUUAUGUCGAGUUUUCAACCCGAGGGUUAAGUACAUACCUGUUCAAAAUAUCCAUUUCACAACAUUUACUAAUACGUCCCUUUCAUCUCAAGUAUUCCUCCAUUUGAGUAGAAUUUUACCCGUUGAACACAUCGGAAUAUAAUUCGGAUACAUGGAAAGUUUGCGCAUAAGUGCCACAUAUGUAGCCAAGCUACUAUGUAACCCGCCCAUAAGUGAACUCAGACUCAACUCAACGAGCUCGGGUGUUCACAUCCAUAAGUGAAAUCGGACUCAACUCAACGAGCUCGGAUGCCUAGUUACAUCUCACGAACUCGGACUCAACUCAACGAGUUCGAACAUUCGCAUCCAUAAGUGAACUCGGACUCAACUCAACGAGUUUGGAUGCUCAACCAUCCUAGUGACAUGUCACUUGUAUCCUAAUCUAUUCCUAAGGUUCAAACGGGAUUUUCCUCGAACAAAUCUCCUUGCCAUCUUCCGUAAAAUACCGAAACCAAUACUCGGUAGCACUUUAUAUUUAACAGAUAAUACACAUAACUUGCAUUUUAUUCGAAAAUAACCACAAAGCAUAUAUUUCAUGAUAGAAAUCAGCAUAUCAUAUAUUUAACAUCAAUAACUUAAAAAUAACAAUUAUGCUACAUUAUUUACACAUGAACUUACCUCGAUACCACAAAGGAGAAAAUGACAUACUCGUCCAUAAAUCAAUUUCUUUCCGUUCUAGGUCCAAGUCUCAAUUUUCAUCAUCUAUAACAUCACAGUUAGCCUACCAAUCAGUCACAAUAUUCAUAUGGGUCUAAAAAUCAUAUUUUUACAAAUUUUCAUUUUGACCCCUAAACUUUUGCAUAUUUACACUUUUGCCCCAAUGCUCGUAAAUUAAUUUUUAUCACAUUUCUUUACUCCUUGAGUCUAGAUGAACCAUUUUCAUAACUAUAGGAACUCAUAAUUUCAACUAUUUUACACAUUUACAACUCAUUUUACAACUUAGCAAUUUAACCCUUUUUAAGGUAUUUUCAUGCAAAUUCUUUCACAAAAGUUGUUUAUUAGACAACUAGGACUCCUAAUCUUCCAUAAAAACACAGCAAACAACACAUUUACUCUCAUGGUAAAACCCUAGACUCUUCAUCAUUUUGCAAAAUAAUCCCCUCUUAUGAAAGCUUAUGCUUUAGGGGUUCCAAAAAUACAAAAAUCAUCAAGCAAAGACAUUAAAAUCACUUACAAGCAAGGGAAAUAUGUUGCUGAAAUUUUCCAGAUUCAAAACUCUUUCUUUGCUGCAUAUUUCGGUGAAGGGGAAGAGAAAAAUGAUAGCUUUUUUUUUAUUUGUUAAU
rnacentral:lncRNA from 1 species